GCGUGCCUAAUACAUGCAAGUCGAACGAGAAGCCUUAGAUUAUCUAAGGUGGAGAGUGGCGCACGGGUGAGUAACACAUGGCUGACCUGCCCCUCAGAGGGGGACAACCGGUGGAAACGCCGGCUAAUACCCCAUGCUUGCGUCCGGGUUAGAGGCCGGAUGCAGAAAGGCCGAGGCGCUGAGGGAGGGGGCUGUGGACCACCAGCUAGUUGGUAGGGUAACGGCCUACCAAGGCGAGGACGGAUAGGGGGCCUGAGAGGGUGACCCCCCACACGGGCACUGAGACACGGGCCCGACUCCUACGGGAGGCAGCAGUAAGGGAUAUUGCGACAAUGGGCGAAAGCCUGACGCAGCAACGCCGCGUGGAGGAUGAAGGCCUUCGGGUUGUAAACUCCUUUUCUGUGGGAAGAGGAAGGACGGUACCACAGGAAGAAGUCUCGGCUAACUACGUGCCAGCAGCCGCGGUAAAACGUAGGAGGCGAGCGUUAUCCGGAUUUACUGGGUGUAAAGCGCGUGCAGGCGGUCUGGUAAGUCGAGCGUGAAAGCUCCCGGCUCAACCGGGAGAGGACGUGCGAAACUGCGAGGCUAGAGACAGGUAGAGGCGUACGGAAUUCCGGGUGUAGUGGUGAAAUGCGUAGAUAUCCGGAGGAACACCAGUGGCGAAGGCGGUACGCUGGGCCUGGUCUGACGCUAGGACGCGAAAGCAUGGGGAGCGAACGGGAUUAGAAACCCCGGUAGUCCAUGCCGUAAACGAUGCUAACUAGGUGUUGCGGGUAAAAGACCGGCAGUGCCGGAGUUAACGCGAUAAGUUAGCCACCUGGGGACUACGGUCGCAAGGCUAAAACUCAAAGGAAUUUGACGGGGGCCCGCACAAGCAGCGGAGCGUGUGGUUUCAUUCGGAGGCUUCACGAGGAACCUUACCUGGGCUUGA
rnacentral:rRNA from 1 species